GUUUUAAUAGUUUAAUUAAAAACCACAAUCUUGUAAAUUGUUAAUAAUACUCUUCUAUUUUAAAACU
rnacentral:tRNA from 1 species